CUACGUGCCAGCAGCCGCGGUAAUACGGAGGGUGCGAGCGUUAAUCGGAAUAACUGGGCGUAAAGGGCACGCAGGCGGUGACUUAAGUGAGGUGUGAAAGCCCCGGGCUUAACCUGGGAAUUGCAUUUCAUACUGGGUCGCUAGAGUACUUUAGGGAGGGGUAGAAUUCCACGUGUAGCGGUGAAAUGCGUAGAGAUGUGGAGGAAUACCGAAGGCGAAGGCAGCCCCUUGGGAAUGUACUGACGCUCAUGUGCGAAAGCGUGGGGAGCAAACAGGAUUAGAUACCCUGGUAGUCCACGCUGUAAACGAUGUCGAUUUGGGGGUUGAACUAUAAGUUUGGCGCCCGUAGCUAACGUGAUAAAUCGACCGCCUGGGGAGUACGGCCGCAAGGUUAAAACUCAAAUGAAUUGACGGGGGCCCGCACAAGCGGUGGAGCAUGUGGUUUAAUUCGAUGCAACGCGAAGAACCUUACCUACUCUUGACAUCCAGA
rnacentral:rRNA from 1 species